rnacentral:rRNA from 1 species
GACGAACGCUGGCGGCGUGCUUAACACAUGCAAGUCGAACGGAAAGGCCCUGCUUUUGUGGGGUGCUCGAGUGGCGAACGGGUGAGUAACACGUGAGUAACCUGCCCUUGACUUUGGGAUAACUUCAGGAAACUGGGGCUAAUACCGGAUAGGAGCUCCUGCUGCAUGGUGGGGGUUGGAAAGUUUCGGCGGUUGGGGAUGGACUCGCGGCUUAUCAGCUUGUUGGUGGGGUAGUGGCUUACCAAGGCUUUGACGGGUAGCCGGCCUGAGAGGGUGACCGGCCACAUUGGGACUGAGAUACGGCCCAGACUCCUACGGGAGGCAGCAGUGGGGAAUAUUGCACAAUGGGCGGAAGCCUGAUGCAGCAACGCCGCGUGCGGGAUGACGGCCUUCGGGUUGUAAACCGCUUUCGCCUGUGACGAAGCGUGAGUGACGGUAAUGGGUAAAGAAGCACCGGCUAACUACGUGCCAGCAGCCGCGGUGAUACGUAGGGUGCGAGCGUUGUCCGGAUUUAUUGGGCGUAAAGGGCUCGUAGGUGGUUGAUCGCGUCGGAAGUGUAAUCUUGGGGCUUAACCCUGAGCGUGCUUUCGAUACGGGUUGACUUGAGGAAGGUAGGGGAGAAUGGAAUUCCUGGUGGAGCGGUGGAAUGCGCAGAUAUCAGGAGGAACACCAGUGGCGAAGGCGGUUCUCUGGGCCUUUCCUGACGCUGAGGAGCGAAGGCGUGGGGAGCGAACAGGCUUAGAUACCCUGGUAGUCCACGCUGUAAACGGUGGGUACUAGGUGUGGGGUCCAUUCCACGGGUUCCGUGCCGUAGCUAACGCUUUAAGUACCCCGCCUGGGGAGUACGGCCGCAAGGCUAAAACUCAAAGGAAUUGACGGGGCCCCGCACAAGCGGCGGAGCAUGCGGAUUAAUUCGAUGCAACGCGUAGAACCUUACCUGGGUUUGACAUGGAUCGGGAGUGCUCAGAGAUGGGUGUGCCUCUUUUGGGGUCGGUUCACAGGUGGUGCAUGCCUGUCGUCAGCUCGUGUCGUGAGAUGUUGGGUUAAGUCCCGCAACGAGCGCAACCCUUGUUCACUGUUGCCAGCACGUUAUGGUGGGGACUCAGUGGAGACCGCCGGGGUCAACUCGGAGGAAGGUGGGGAUGACGUCAAGUCCUCAUGCCCCUUAUGUCCAGGGCUUCACGCAUGCUACAAUGGCUGGUACAGAGAGUGGCGAGCCUGUGAGGGUGAGCGAAUCUCGGAAAGCCGGUCUCAGUUCGGAUUGGGGUCUGCAACUCGACCUCAUGAAGUCGGAGUCGCUAGUAAUCGCAGAUCAGCAACGCUGCGGUGAAUACGUUCCCGGG